GUAACAGUACGAUUGUCUUCUAUGUUUCAGGUUUUAAAGUACAAUGAUGAGACAGAUAAACUUCCAGUUGUGUACUUAGAUGAGACAUACAUUCAUUGUGGUCUAACUUUUGGAAAAUAUUGGCAGAAUGAUGAUGGCACAGAUGGUGUACUGAAUCUAAAGGGCAAAGGUUUAUAAUAGUCCAUGCUGGCGGUGAGCAAGGCUUUGUGGAGAAUGCCUGCUUGGUAUUUAAAUCACAAACAAAAAGUGGAGAUUAUCAUGAUGACAUGAAUCACACAAAUUUCAAAAAAUGGGUUACUGAAAAGUUGUCACCCAAUUUAAACCAACCAAGUCUUAUUGGGAUGAAUAAUGCUCUAUAUCACAAUACAAGCAUAAACAAAGCACUUAACACAAAUUCAAGAAAGGGAGUAAUACACGAAUGGUUAUCAAGAAAUCAUAUUGAAUAUUCACCACAAUAUACAAUACCACAAUUAUUGGAAAUUGUAAAAAGAAAUAAGCCGGAACCUGAUUAUGCUAUUGACACCAUUUUAAAAGGAUUAGGCCAAAAGGUAUUACGUUUACCUCCAAAUCAUUGUGAUCUCAACCCCAUUGAAAUGGUCUGGGCUUCAAUGAAACGCAAAGUGGCUAUGGUGAACAUUGGGAAACUGGCUAAUGAAAUGCCAAGUAUGGUAAUGAAUGCAUUUAAUGCUAUUACUGUUGAGGAGUGGCGCAAUUAUUGUUCGCACGUCAAAAAAAUACAAAAAGAGUAUCACAUAAGGGACGCGCAUUUGGACGUACCGUUCAUCAUAGACUUAGCCUCUGAUAGUGAAGAAAGCAGCGAUAGUGAAGACGAAGAAUUGGACGAUAUUCGACCACUUAAUAUUGUACACCUUCAUCAUAAUUAUAAUAAAAUUAUUUGAAACAUUAUUCUUUUUUGCCACCAUAUGCUUAUGUUUGAUGACUGAUAGGUAUAUACAUGUAUACUUUUAUAGUUUACCAUUUCCUUAAGUUCUAACAGUUAAAAAAACUUAAAAUUCUACUCAUCCUAUUAUCUGAUAUGUUCAUUGGGCCCUAAGAUUUCGGGAUAGAUACAUAUGCAUGUUCUAAGUUUAAUAUUAAAACUACCUAUAGUAUCACUUUCAAUUGGACCGUAAAUUAGGCAAUUUUUAUUCACCGGUAACCCCAAUUUCACUGUAGCGCCCUCCUGUCAAUGUCACUCAUGCGCCAAAAGACCCUUGUGGCAGUAUAUGUUAAGAUAAUCUGUAAGUAUUAUUGUAAUGACAUAAUAUUAUGUAAAACCAUUUCACCAACAGUGAAUAUGGAGCAUAAUUUGUACUAAAUUGAUAUAAAAGAGGUGCUUUUAGGUCAAUUAUUAAUCUGUUUUAAUUGAUCUCAAUAUAUUCAUGACCUCAACUGGAUUUGGUACAAAUAUUUAUAACAAUUAAAAUAUGUGAUUUGCUUAAUAAAUAUAAGUCCUACCAUAACAGCUCUUUUCUUUCCCAAUGCCUCUAUUUUCUUCAAACAAUCUUCAAAUUGAAAUUUAGGGUACAGUCUAUAUGCCCAAUGUUCUAAUUUCUUUAAGACUACAUCCAAGUCUUCCUUCUCAUGACC